UUCACGCAAACGCGAUCUCAACUUUGAGACCCUACCGCUACCGCCACUUCCGCCGGAGCAGGUCGCCGCUGCCGAUGUCGAGGAAGAAAAUAGCUGCCGGUUGUAACCCCACAUCUUACCAUCGGUUGUCGGAGUCACCGCGAGCCAAAAGGGAGAGAACCCUUACUUCGCCGUCAAUCGCGCUUGACUCACAGAGUUGAAGGUGCCUCACUCCAUUCGCCGCGCCCCCAUCAUCAUCCAUUAACGGAGUUGUCUCCGAUUACGAUGAACGGUGGUUGUCAGUAGGCGCAAUUAUCAGCACACGAUUUGCCCAACAAAAACCCCAUUGCCAGCGAGCAAAAACUCAUUUAUCACAAAGCACGUGCAUGGAUAGCAAAGAACAAGACAACAAUGAUACAAUUUAUGGAAGAAGCAGACAGGUCAUGUUAUCAAUCUCUUGCCAAGGUCAGAAAGAUAUCCAGAAAGAAAUUUGUAUGUUUUUGAGAGGAAGUACAUCAUAUCGUUAAUCAAAGAUUUGAAAAUCAAAUUAAAUGAAACAUUGUAGAAAUUAUUGGGAGAGGAUGACUCUGUUAUGAACCGUUUGAGAUUUUAGCAAGAUGAAGUUGAUGUGUGUAGUGUAGUUGAAAUCGAAGUUCGGUCAUGAUAACCAGUAGCGAUAGAGAUUGAGAAUGAAAAAAAAAAGGAUGAUCAUACACCAUAAUGUUUUUGAACAGAUUAUAGGCAGUAUUCAUAUGCAUUAUGAAACACUAUCAUUUUAUAUCUAUCAUGCAUCAUGAGAAUGAGAAUAAAGGAUAAGUUGUAUACUUGAGAAUUCCUCUGAUAUUCGUCACCUCCGAUGUCCUCUGCCUAACUCCGAUGAUCUCUCCCUACAACCCCAAAACCUCUUCCCUUCUCUGAUUUCUCUUUGCCUUAUCCACCAAAAUUCUCUUCUCUUUCGUGCCACCCAAAAACCUCUUCAAAACCGUUUUUUCUCAAUCCCCUGCUCUCCCCAAAAUUCUCUCACAAACUUGUCCCCCUUCUUCCCUCACGCCAUUCGAAUCUUUUUUCCACGUGUUUUUGACACGUUUUUUAUUUCUCUCUUCUUUUCUUUUUUCUUCUUUUUUCUCUAUUUUUUUUAAUUAAUUAAUUUUUAUAUUUUGAUUAAUUAUACUAGUUAUAUUAAAAUAAAAACAGAAAGUAAAACCAAAGUUAACAACGAAAAGAAUAAGAAAAGAAAAUAAACAAGUCAAAUAAACUAAAGAAUCAAAUAAAGAGGAAAACAAUUGUUACAAACACCCGGACGAAAUUGAGUGUUAACA
rnacentral:lncRNA from 1 species